UAGGGAAUCUUCGGCAAUGGGGGGAACCCUGACCGAGCAACGCCGCGUGAGUGAAGAAGGUUUUCGGAUCGUAAAGCUCUGUUGUUAAGGAAGAACGAGUGUGAGAAUGGAAAGUUCAUACUGUGACGGUACUUAACCAGAAAGGGACGGCUAACUACGUGCCAGCAGCCGCGUUAAUACGUAGGUCCCGAGCGUUGUCCGGAUUUAUUGGGCGUAAAGCGAGCGCAGGCGGUCAAUUAAGUCUGAUGUGAAAGCCCCCGGCUCAACCGGGGAGGGUCAUUGGAAACUGGUUGACUUGAGUGCAGAAGAGGAGAGUGGAAUUCCAUGUGUAGCGGUGAAAUGCGUAGAUAUAUGGAGGAACACCAGUGGCGAAGGCGACUCUCUGGUCUGUAACUGACGCGGAGGCUCGAAAGCGUGGGGAGCGAACAGG
rnacentral:rRNA from 1 species